rfam:Arabis alpina cultivar Pajares chromosome 8, whole genome shotgun sequence.
GGCCGGUGAUGUAAUCAAAAUAUUUGCUACUCUUGAUGAAGUAAUUCAUUUGAUGAGAUUUAACCACCAAGAUCUCUGAGGCC